GACGAACCGUACAAACGUUAUUCGGAAUCACUGGGCUUAAAGGGUGCGUAGGCGGCGCUGUAAGUUGGGUGUGAAAUCCCUCGGCUCAACCGAGGAACUGCGCCCAAAACUACAGUGCUUGAGGGAGAUAGAGGUGAGCGGAACUUAGGGUGGAGCGGUGAAAUGCGUUGAUAUCCUAAGGAACGCCAGGGGCGAAAGCGGCUCACUGGGUCUCUUCUGACGCUGAGGCACGAAAGCUAGGGUAGCGAACGGGAUUAGAUACCCCGGUAGUCCUAGCCGUAAACGAUGAGCACUAGAUGGAAGGGUCCUCCAUAACCUUUCCAUCGAAGCGAAAGUAAUUAGUGCUCCGCCUGGGGAGUAUGGUCGCAAGGCUGAA
rnacentral:rRNA from 1 species